rnacentral:rRNA from 1 species
UGUGAUAGCCGGCAGGCGUUGCAUGGUCGGGGUUGUGGGACCUUCACGUACUUCUGCCGAAGUACACGUCGACGUGCGCGAUAUAGGUGAACAGCUUUGAAAGGCUGACCACAGAGGGUGCCAGUCCCGUAACCGAAAUGUCGCGCAGAGGCGGAAGGGAUCCCAAGUAGCACGGGGCCCGAGAAAUCCCGUGUGAAUCCGCCAGGACCACCUGGUAAGCCUAAAUACUCCCAGAUGACCGAUAGCGGACAAGUACCGUGAGGGAAAGGUGAAAAGUACCCCGGGAGGGGAGUGAAAUAGUACCUGAAACCGUCUGCUUACAAACCGUUGGAGCAGCCCUAGCAGCUGUGACAGCGUGCCUUUUGAAGAAUGAGCCUGCGAGUUAGUGGUAUGUGGCGAGGUUAACCCGUGAGGGGCAGCCGUAGCGAAAGCGAGUUCGAAUAGAGCGAUUCAGUCGCAUGCCCUAGACCCGAAGCGAAGUGAUCUAUCCAUGGCCAGGCUGAAGCGACGGUAAGACGUCGUGGAGGGCCGAACCCACUUGGGUUGAAAACCGAGGGGAUGAGCUGUGG